UAUUAGAAGGACUGCCAUAAACGCAAGGCAUGGUUUGAAAAGAAAGGGAUUCCUUACAACCCAGAUGCAAGAUCCAAAUGAGAGUUUUAUCGUUUUGGGGAAUGGGGUUAGAGUUCCUGUAACAGCUGUUGGAACCUAUCGUUUGCUUUUAAAUACUGGUUGUCAUUUAGAUUUGCUUCAGACUCUUUAUGUUCCUUCUAUUUCUAGAAAUUUAAUUUCUGUUUCUAAACUUGAUGUUGAAGGAUAUUUCUUUAAAAUUGGGAAUGGUAGUUUGCGUCUUUUCAAAGACAA